ensembl:lncRNA
CUUCCCCACUCAUAGGAAAAUUAAAACACAAGAAAGCCGCUGGAUCAGCUACUGCCUUUCACUACAGUUACCAUUUUAGGUUAUGGAUCAAGGUUGAACUGUACAGAGGGAGUGCAGCCACAAGGCUCUGGCUGUGCCGGGCCUCCCACCAGCCCGGGCCCCAAAGCAGCCCCAGCUGUGCCUGGUCCUCCUCCAUCCUGUGCCCCAAGUCCUUGGCUGUGCCUGGGCCCCCUUUGGACUGAGCCCCGAGUAGGCCCCAACUGCGCUAGGUCCUCCUCCAGCCUGGGCCCCAAAGCAGCCCCAUCUGAGCCUGGUCCUCUUCGAUACCGGGCCCCAAAGCAGCCCAAAUCGUGCCAGGCCGUCGACCGGCCUGGGCCCCAAAGCAGCCCCAACUGUUGCUGGUCCUUCUCCAUCCUGUGCCCCAAGGCCCUGGCUGGGCUUGAGCCCCCUUUUGUCUGGGCCCAGACGAGGCCUCAACUGUGCCAGGCCGUCCUCCAUCCUGGGCCCCAAAGCAGCCCCAACUGUGCCAGGCCCCCUUCCAGCUCAGCCCCCAAAGCAGCCCCAACUGUGCCAGGUCCAUCUCCAUCCUGGGCCCCAAAGCAGCCCCAACUGUUGCUGGUCCUUCUCUUUCCUAAGCCCCAAGGCUAGGGCUGUGCCAGGGCCCCCUGUGGUCUGGGCCAAGAGGAGGCCCCAACUGUGCCAGGCACCCCUCCAGUCCAGGCCCCAAAGCAGCCCCAACUGUGCCAGGUCCAUCUCCAUCCUGGGCCCCAAAGCAGCCCCAACUGUUGCUGGUCCUCCUCUAUCCUAAGCCCCACGGCUAGGGUUGUGCCGGGGCCCCCUGUGCUCUGGGCCAAGAGGAGGCCCCAACUGUGCCAGGCACCCCUCCAGUCCAGGCCCCAAAGCAGCCCCACCUGUGCCAGGCCCAUCUCCAUCCUGGGCCCCAAAGCAGCCCCAACUGUUCCUGGUCCUCCUCCAUCCUAGGCCCCAAGGCCCGAACUGUUCUUGGGCCCCUUUUUGUCUGGGCCCAGAGGAGGCCUCAACUGUGCCAGGCCCCCCUCCAGCCUAGGCACCAAAGCAGCCCCAACUGUGCCUGGUCCUGUUUCAUCCUGGGCCCCAAGGCCCUGGCUGUGCCUGGGCCCUUUUUGGUCUGGGCCAAGAGCAGGCCUCAACUGUGCCUGGUCCUUCUCUAGCCCAGGCCCCAAAGCAGCCCCAACUGUGCUAUGCCCCCCUCCAGCUCAGGCACCAAAGCAGCCCCAACUGUGCCUGGUCCUCCUCCAUCCUGGGCCCCAACACAGCCCCAACUGAGCCUGGUUCUCCUCCAUCCUGGGCCCCGAGGCUCUACCUGUGCCUGGGUCCCCUUCCUUCUGGGCCCACACCAGGCCUCAACUGUGCCAGGCCCCCUCCAGCCUGGGCCCCGAGGCCACCACUGUGCUGCACCACCCUCCGGCACAGGCCCUGCCCCAAGCCCUGCCCCCUGUGGACAGCUCUGCUCUUUGCCUGCUUGUUUUUUUUCCUCUCUUCACUCUGCCAGCUUAACUGGAUGAGUUUCAAUGGGGCCGAGCGUCGGGUCCUGCAUUUUGGUCACAACAACCCCAGGCGUCCCCCCAGUCCUCCUUGGCGAGGAGUGGCUGGAAAGCUGCCUGAUCCCUGAAAGGGACCUUGGUGUGCUGAUGGACAGGUGGCUGAAGAUGAGCCAGCAGUGUGCCCAGGUGGCCAAGAAGGCCAAUGGCAUAACCACAAUUCCUGGCUCAGGAAUGGUGUGGUGAGCAGGACUAAGGAAGUCAUCCUGCCCCUGGACUCGGCACUGGCGAGGCCUCACCUCGAGUCCAGUGUUCAGUUUUGGGCACCUCAGCACAGAAGGGCUGUUGAGGUGCUGAAGCAGGUUGAAAGAAGGGCAACAAGGCUGGGGAAGGCCUUGGACAAUAUGCCCUCUGAGGAGUGAGUGAAGGAACUGGGGCUGUUUAGCGUGGGGAAAAGGAGGCUGAGGGGAGACCUGAUGGGCUCCCUAUUCCACCCAGGGAGCUGGUUCAGUCACCAUCCCUGAAUGUGUUGAAAACCAGGUGGUGCUCGGAGACAUGAUUGAGCAAGGGGUUGUUAGAGUUAGGCUGGUAUGGUUAGGUUGUGCUUAGACUGGAGGAUCUUUAAGGUCUUUGUGGCGACAAAAACUCCAACCAUCUCAAGCCUGGGGGAAAGGGGCUGACCCCAACGGUCACGCAACCCCCCCCCCUGGGGGGAGGGGCUCCCCUAACUGCCACUCUCCAGCUGUCAUGGCAGGUAAGGCAGCAGGCUUCCCCUGCCCCCAUGCUUCAGCUGGCCCCAGCGCUCCAGAUCCCACCCCUGUGCCCCAGAUCUCACCCCAGCAAACCAGAUCUCACCCCAGCAAACCAGAUCCCACCCCUGUAACCCCGAUAUCACCCCCGUAACCCAGAGCUCAUCCCAGAUCUCACCCCAGCGCCCCAGAUCCCACCCCUGUAACCCUGAUAUCACCCCCGUAACCCAGAGCUCACCCCAGUGUCCCAGAUCCCACCCCAGCGUCCCAGAACUCACCUCAGCGCCCCAGAUCCCAGCCCUGUAAGCCCGAUCUCAGCCCUGUGCCCCAGAUCCCACCCCAGCGCCCCAGAGCCCACCCCAGAGCCUGCUUUGGCCUUUCCCCACGGAGAGAAUCCCUCGAGGAGCGCUGACGGUGCCUCUGACACCCGACGCCAUUUUCCCUGAAGCGACUGUGCCGCCACCGGACCCCGCCUGGAUGCAGCCCACCAUCCGCGGACCGAUGCCGGUACCACCCCAAGCCCUCCCUGUCCCCACUGCCACCUACCUGGCGCCUCAGACCUCUGUCUGGCCUGGGGUACCAGGUGUCUGGGGACAGGCAGCGCAGCUCCCCCCUGGGGGGCUGCCCCCAACUGGGGCUCAACUGCCACCUGGGGGCCUGCCCCCAACUGUGGGGCUGCACUUACCGGUGCUGCAGCUGCUACCUGGGGGGCUGCACCCAGCUAUGGCUCCCCCCACUGCCCCUGCUCACUGCUGGGGACAUCCCCUGCUGGCAGGGACGCUGCUGCCCC